AUGUGACUGCUGUAAGAUAUGUUUGAUAUUCUUGGUUGUUUAGGAUCAACCGAGGAUCAAACAUGUUAUGCAGCGGCCGCUU
rnacentral:pre_miRNA from 13 species